rnacentral:rRNA from 1 species
UCGAGAAUCUUCGGCAAUGGGCGCAAGCCUGACCGAGCGACGCCGCGUGCGGGAUGAAGGCCCUUGGGUUGUAAACCGCUGUCAGGGGGGAGCAAGGCGCAAGCUUGAGCGAGCCCCAAAGGAAGCACGGGCUAAGUUCGUGCCAGCAGCCGCGGUAAUACGAACUGGGCGAACGUUAUUCGGAAUCACUGGGCUUACAGGGUGCGUAGGCGGCUCUUCAGGUCAGGUGGGAAAUCCCCCGGCUCAACC